UUCUGGAGAUGGGUUUUGGGAACUUGGU
rnacentral:piRNA from 2 species